rnacentral:rRNA from 1 species
UACAGAGGGUGCGAGCGUUAAUCGGAAUUACUGGGCGUAAAGCGCACGUAGUCGGCUUUGCAAGUCGGGUGUGAAAUCCCCGGGCUCAACCUGGGAACUGCAUCCGAGACUGCAUUGCUAGAGUAUGGGAGAGGGAAGCGGAAUUUCUGGUGUAGCAGUGAAAUGCGUAGAUAUCAGAAGGAACAUCAGUGGCGAAGGCGGCUUCCUGGACCAAUACUGACGAUCAGGUGGCGAAAGCCGUGGGGAGCAAACAGG